UACGGAGGGUGCAAGCGUUAUCCGGAUUCACUGGGUUUAAAGGGUGCGUAGGAGGGCAGGUAAGUCAGUGGUGAAAUCUCCGAGCUUAACUUGGAAACUGCCGUUGAUACUAUCUGUCUUGAAUAUUGUGGAGGUGAGCGGAAUAUGUCAUGUAGCGGUGAAAUGCUUAGAUAUGACAUAGAACACCAAUUGCGGAGGCAGCUCGCUACACAUAGAUUGACUCUGAGGCACGAAAGCGUGGGGAUCAAACAGG
rnacentral:rRNA from 1 species